CUCAGACAAGACCCCUGCCUGACCAACACCUUGAUUGUAGCCAUGUGAGGCUUGAGCUGAGAGCCCAGUCACACCACUCGGGACUGCUGACAUGCCGUUUCAAGCUGUUAGGGCCUGGCUGCACUCGCUCGCUGAUCCCCUGUCUGGUGACCUUGUGUUGUGAAGUCUCCCUCGCGCCGGUGGUUCUGAGGGAUCUAAGGUUUCUAAGGUCAAGAUUCCAGGAGGGCUGAGCUGAUGAUUCUGCUUGGAAAAUAUACUCUGCCUCGCAAGGCCCUGUGCAGACUGGGGGCCCAGCAGCACCUCCUGUCGUCUGAUGGAGAACUGGAAGGCAAGGCUGGAGGAGACACAGGCUGGGCUGGCAUGUGGGGCAGGAGGUGGGCCAGGGAUAGGGCCACUGGGGCUCUGUCCUCAAGUCCUGCCCCCGCCCCCUAAGCCAGGCCACCAGCCGCCUGCCUUCAUGGGCGUCCCUGUCCCACAGCACUUCCAGACAUACCCACUGUACACACAGCCCCUCUGCUCUAGAGGACAGGCUCAUGGUGGUCCAGUGACCUAGCCAGGGCCUGGAGCCAUCAAUACACAGCUCAGCACUUGGUCCACCUCAGGCUUCCAAACAU